rnacentral:lncRNA from 1 species
GCCAGCUGUGGGCAAAUUCAUCAUUCUCCGUCACACACUUGCAUAGAAGAUGAACAGUGCAGGUAAACAGAAAAAAACAAGCAUUUUGAAAUAAAAUAAAAUUGUGAUCUAAGAAAAGCAUUCUAGAACCAGCUAAAGAAUCGCCAUAUUAUCUGAUACUUCCUCUAGACAUCUAAGCUGUCAUGCAUAAGCUGGCUCUGUGGGCACCCUUUAUGGCAGAGGGGUUACCAGUGAUUCUUCAUUUCAUGUGGCCAGGAGUUUAUAGAGUUCAAAAUUCCAAAUUGUACACAACUGUAAAACCAUGAUCCACUAAUUAUCUUGUAAAAGAUAGCUGUCAGUAACUGUUCUGAUUGCAUGCGCUUUGUAAUGCCAUUUAAAAAACAAAAAAAAACAAACACUGCACCUUUAAAUGAAGUGCACUCUGGAAAAUAAUGCAUUUGCAAGCUUGGGGGGCUCAAUAUUAACUCCCUGUGUGUAUGGUAGCAAUGAAUGUAUGUUUUGCAUUCCCACCAAAAUGCUAGCUGUUUUUCCCCAUUAACAUAUAACAUUUGUGGAUGCAUACAUGAAAUCAUGUGCUUAUGCAUUUAAAAAUGAUAUACCACUCGUGGUAAAUAUGAGCAGAGAAGGCAGUGAAAGUUUGUGUUUAUUGUUUAACCUUUAUUUUUUUGUUUAAAAUAAAAAUAGUAUGCUAUCACAGAUAUAUAACAAUUCAAACACAAUACAGGUUUAUAAAAAAACCUACAUAUGCUACAUAUAAUGCAUGAGGUUGAAGAAUACAGGAGACCAUUCCACCAUACAGAAUUUCUCCAAAUCCUUCAGAUUUCGAUGUUGAAGCUGGUGGACUCCCCUGCUCAGUUGUGGACUCUCCUGUUCUCCUGGUCCCACAUGUUUUCUUUGAGGUUUAAGUCAGGGAACUAGGAUGGUAAUAGCAGAACCUUGAUUUUGUGUUCAUUAAACCAUUUUCUUGCAGAGGUAGUCGGGUAUUCUGCUGAUUUUUGAUAGAAUCCAUGUUGUCAGGUAUUCUAACAGAAGUUCUUGCUCCUCUGGCAGAAAAACAGCCAUAAAACAUUAAAUAGCCACCACCAUAUUUAACAGUGCGCAUGAGGUACUUUUCCAUAUGACUUCCUUGCUGAUUUUGACAAACCCACCUCUGAUGUUUAAUGAAAAAAAGCUCUAUUUUGGUUUUAUAUGACCAUAGAACCUGAUGCCAUCUGAAGUUCCAGUAGUGUAUGGCAAACCGCAGAUGCUUCAAUUUGUUUUUGGACAAGAGUAGUCUUUUGUUCCUUGAAACCCUUCCAAACAACCUGUGGUGAUAUAGGUGACGUUGGAUUGUAAUUUUGGAGAUUUUCUGACCCCAAGACGCAACUAACUCCUGCAGUUCUCUAGCUAUGAUCCUUGGAGAUUUUUGGCCACUCAAACCAUCCUGUUCACAGUGCGUUGAGACAUUAUAGACACACGUUCUCUUCCAUGUUGAUUCAUAACGUUUGUAGUUGACUGGAACUUCCUGAUGGUGGAAAUUGGCAUUUUCAAUGCUUUUGCUAUUUUAAAUAAAAUUAAAAUUUGGCCACUUGUUGCACAUCACCGCUAUGUUCCUGUCUUACCCAUUGUGAAGAAUGAUGGAAUUUGGCCUAUGUGUUACCUCAUAUUUAACCCUUGUGAAACAGGAAUUCAUGGUUGAACAAUAUACUGAUCCUAGACAACGAGGUGUACUAAUAUUUCUAAAAUAUCAAUGGGAAUAUAUUCCAAAUAUAUUUUUCUCAUGAAUUUAUAGGGCUACCAACAAUUGAGCCACACUUUUUUUUUUUUUAAAUAUAAACCUGUGCUGUGUUUGCAAAAGUUUGAUAUCCAUGAGAGCAGAGUAUUUUGUAUAUUAUUUAUAUUUUUUGGAACAAAAGAUAAAAAUAAACUAUAAAGAUAAUUGUUCACAUCCUUCUUUACUAAUAUUUACCAUGGGUGUCAAUAUUCAAAGAGGGCACUGUUGUACAUGGAGAUGUAGAUAUAAUAAUGCUGCUUUACUUUUGCCACUUUAAGUUUCUUGGAAAGAGGUAUAUUUGAAUGCUUUGCUAGGAUUGGUUUUGUCAAAGCAGGGGUAGCCAAAAACUUGAUCCUCGGCUGUGGCAUAACUACAAAUCCCAUGAUGCUUUGCCAGCCUAGCGAACCAUUAGUGGUUUGGAGCAAUAAUCUCAUAAACUUUUUUUGAGGUUAAUGUUAUUAUUAGUAAGCCACAUGGAAUGGUUAAAACUAGCAAUAUAGUAAUCAAUGCUAUACUUCUGGAAUCUGAGGAGUUAAAGCCUGGGAUUUUGGUUAGGAACUGCAUUUAAGAGUUUAGGUUAAAAUAACUUUCUGAAUUUCUAAUUGAGUUUAGGUCACUAAAAUGUACUUGGCUAGGGUAUAGUUGGGAAAAGGUAAAAUCCACUAACCUGAAAUUCUUGACUUUAGUGAUAGCAAUUGUAGUUUAUUAACAACCAGAUUUUGACUCUUCAUUAUAGCUCACAAGUGCCAAUAGGCUGGCUAAGUCAGGUUUCAGAUUAUAUUUUUGUAAAGGAUGGGCCCAUAUGCACAGUGCUGCAACAAUCAGAGAAGACCAUGGUAGGUAACUACUACAGAAAUUCUGAAUGGAAUGUCAAGGAGUGGAUAAAUUAAAAAAACAACUUUUAUUAUCCAAACUUAAAAACACGCUUUAAUUGCAACUGAUUAUUAGGAACCCUAUACUCGCCAUAAAACCUUGUGAAGCCAAUAAUAUUAAGAAAAAAAAAGACUUUUGUCUUUGAAGUGCAGUGCUCUGUCUUAUUAACCCUGCAAUUGAAAAACAUUUCUGUAUUUGCAAGAACAGCAAUAUUUUCAUUGCAGGAAUAACACGCCUCUGGUCACUGUCAGGAAUACAGUCGCUAGAAGCGCUUCAAUGGCUAUAACCAAGUUAAAACCUGUUUUAGCUGAAAUGACUCUCCUAGAGCGCUUUUGAUUGGCCCAGUGCGGCCUUUUGGCAAGCAUGUGCACUAGUCUCCCAGUGCUUCUUUACGGGGAUGCUUUGAUUUGACUGAAAUAAUCAGGGAGGCGGAGCAGCUGCAGCAUGAACUGUACGGCACUGGAGUUAAUACUCUACUUUUUAACUAUUAUGGUGGUCCAUCAAACUAAACACUAUAGUUUUCCUUUAAACUGAUCUAUUUAGGAUUGUAUUCUACAGUUGCUUCCCCACUCUCUCCUCCUUACUGGGGAGUUUGUCAACCAAGCCACACCAUUUUAUUAGGAUACACUUGGUUUUCUAUUCUAUCCUUAUUCAUAGGAUUGUGUGUGUGCUACUGCUGACCAGUCUAUUUUUGGUUAAGUUGGGACUCCAUUGACAUCUACUGGCUAUCUCACCCUAUUACAACAUCCCAUUCACUGCAUGUAUUUCUGGAAUUUAUACCAGCUCUGGGUUAGGUAGACUUGGGUCAAGGGACCUAGAUAUGUUGUUCAGUAUGGCUCUCAGUAUUCUAUUAAUCUUGCUAUUUCUUUUUCUCUGUGUAUUUAGUUUUUUUUUUUUUUGUGUAUGUAUGUAUUGUAAUUACGUUUGAUUUUAAUGUUGGUUAAGAUACGUUUUAUGUGUUCAUUUUACCCAUUCCUGGACUUUCAAUUUAAAGUUUCAAGCAUUGGCUGAAAAAACAUGGAUCCUGGCUUUUACCAUCCAGAACACAGGGCUUAACUAUCUUGUUUUGGCUUCGUAGAAAGCUGGAUAAACUGCAUUCUCCCUUAACCACGGCAGGACAAAGGGGUUAAGUGAAUGGUAUGCUUUUAUACUUUGUGGAAACAGGUCCAGCAGUCACUGUAAUUCUCUUGAAGUGUCAUUUGAGUACAUACAGUUUCGGAAGUAUAUUAGAACCAAAGUUAAAUAUAGCUGUGUUGUAAAGGAGAACAGUCUUAAAACAAGAACACAUAUGGAAAAAAACAGAAAAUAUAACAAUAUUUCCUUAAAAUGAACACAAUUUCCUAAUUUGAAGGCUAAAAAAAUCUGUAGUCUUAUGUAUAUUGUAACUCUGCUCUGCAAUCUUUAAGCCUUUUCUAUUGUUAUCUGCUGUGUGAGAUUUCAACUCUGUCCCAAGCUUGUACACAUAAGUUAUUUUUUUUUCUAAUGAAAGAGCACAUCAAGUCAUUUAUAAUAUGUGGUCUCUUCUGUACCUGGUAUAGUAUUAUCAUAGAAUUCGAUGUUCAGGUUUGAGUGACCGGAGAGAGGCCUUCAACAGAUCAAUCUCCUGCUUUCCAUCACCGCAACUAAAGUACAUGUUCAUCUCAGAAAGGCAUAUUGAGAUUAUAUAACGAAAAUUGAAAAGUAUUGACAGUUGUGUUCUAAUGCAGAUGCACUGGCAAGGAAACAAGUAUUACAGGGAAUGUUGCCCUGCUUGAGGAUAGGUUCCUAAGUAGCACUAGUUAUGUCCGAGAGAGGGUUGGAGAAAAGAGGCACUGGGGCAUUAAAUAAUUGAUGAAUACUAUAUGGUUGCUGGUGGAGAGAAGAGGAGUAUUGAAUGAACAUCUACUAAAGCCAUAAUAUCAUUAGUCUUUAAAAAAUAAAGUAGUUGGUGCAUAAGGAGAAAGGCUUGACAUGUUACCUUUAUAUCACUUAGGUUUUGGAUGCUGCAACAGACAUUGGUUAGGAGAAUAAUGUUUUUACUUCUAAGUGUUGCCAAAUGUUUUGGCUCUCCAGCUGUAAAUUCUAGUUGGCUGACAGCCAUGUGAAAAGUAGCCUGGUACACCCCAAGUGCAAAUGUUGACAGUCACUCCCUGAAGUGAUGCUAUGGUGUGUUUACUGUGAUUUAGCUUUUCGUUAAACAAAACCUGACUUAAAAUAUACACUACAUUGCAAGUUGAUCCUGAAAUUAUAUAGUAAGGGCAGACUACUUUACAUAGAACAGUAAUUGGUGAAAUGUAGAUGGGUACUUACAGUUGUAAAGUUUGGGUGGCUGGUUGUGCUCCAACAUUUAGAUGGCUGUUCAUUCUGUUGAUCGAAAAUAACAUUUUAAAAUCCAACUAAAGUGAAUCUAUCACAAGCUAUCUUGAAUUCCCUCCAAUUUUCAUCGAAUGCUUCAUAUAGCAUCAUACAUGAUGUAUUCCAUGUAAAACCUCUGGAUAAUACCUUGCUUCUUUUCCAGCGCUGCAAUUUAUUUAGCUUUAUGGGUGUUACUCUUCUUGGAACACCCACCUGGUCCCCUCUGUGAUUUGCCCUGCUUGAGGAUGCUUCCACGACAUGCUAAUUUUGCCAACAGCAUGCUGGCGCCUGAACGGAGUCCCUAGCCAGCGCUAGCAAUGUCAGCUAGGGAGUUUCCAUAGCAAUUACAGCGCAUGUGCUGUGGGUGGAGAUCAGGACCACCUGAGGGAGGUCUUUUCUGCUUACCCUUGUUAGUCAGUUUUUCGGCAUAGUCUGUGCUAAAGAUUUCACUGACAGAUGGAGAGACCUAUUUCUAAAUAGGCUUUCUCCCAAACGUUACAAUUUCUAGCAAACGUGCUAGCAUAAUAUAGUGGUAUAACACCCACUCUAAGAUUUAUGUGUAGUGCAGGUCCUCGUAUAUGUGGGGGUGUGGAAAUAAAACACAAAGACCAUACUGUACACUGAAAGUAGAGCUAAAACAAUCUACUUACAUGGGGUAGAGCAAAUAACAGUUUGCUCAAUCCGGAGGGCGUAGGUGUUGUAUAUAUUCCCACCCAGGAUAUCUAAAGUAGGAAUCAAGCAGCAGUGUAGAGGUCCAAUAAAAAAGUACUUUAUUUGUAAAACAUGUGAUCAAUACUGAACACCAUUGCGCCACACAUUGCCUUUGACUUUUUUUUGUUAAGACUUUUGUCAUAUUUGCACUUGUUUGUGUUUUUUAAUAAACAUUUUCUUAAAUUUUAAA